UACGGAGGGUGCGAGCGUUGUCCGGAAUCAUUGGGCGUAAAGGGCGCGUAGGUGGCCACUUCAAGCGUGCGGUGAAAGUCGGGGGCUCAACCCCUGAUCGGCCGUGCGAACUGGGGGGCUGGAGCACUGUAGAGGCAGGCGGAAUUCCGGGGUGUAGCGGUGGAAUGCGUAGAGAUCCGGAAGAACACCGGUGGCGAAGGCGGCCUGCUGGGCAGUUUGCUGACACUGAGGCGCGACAGCGUGGGGAGCAAACAGGG
rnacentral:rRNA from 1 species